rnacentral:rRNA from 1 species
AAUGAACGCUGGCGGCGCGCCUAAUACAUGCAAGUCGAGCGAGAAGACGUAGCAAUACGUUUGUAAAGCGGCGAACGGGUGAGGAAUACAUGGGUAACCUACCCUAGAGUGGGGAAUAACUAGCCGAAAGGUUAGCUAAUACCGCGUACGCUCCUUGGACUUCGGCUCAGGGAGGAAAGCGAUGCCGAGGGUAUCGCGCUCUUGGAUGGGCUCAUGUCCUAUCAGCNGUUGGUGAGGUAACGGCUCACCAAGGCUUCGACGGGUAGCUGGUCUGAGAGGACGAUCAGCCACACUGGCACUGCGACACGGGCCAGACUCCUACGGGAGCAGCAGUAAGGAAUAUUGCGCAAUGGGCGAAAGCCUGACGCAGCGACGCCGC